rnacentral:tRNA from 1 species
GUUUAAGUAGCUUAUGAAGAGUAUAACAUUGAAGAUGUUAAGGAAAUUGAAUAAUUGUUAAACA